GUAAGGUAGUAAGACCCCUUGAAGACGACGAGGUAGAUAGGGCAGAGGUGGAAGUACGGUAACGUAUGGAGCUGACUGUUACUAAUCGGUCGAGGCUUUAACCAA
rnacentral:rRNA from 1 species